GAAACCCUGCUGUGUUCGUGAUUUAGCCGAGGAAGUUUUGAGCCGACACUCAAAGUAAAAAUGGGGCCUGAUUCGGUUGUGGCGUGGCAGCCCCGCUCAAAAUUUCUUUUGGGGAAUCGCAAAGCAAUCGUGAGGGCACCCGCCCGUGCUUUACGGGUUCAAAAACUUGUUAGGCACACGGCACCGUGGGGUUUCU
rnacentral:other from 1 species